rnacentral:rRNA from 1 species
UACGGAGGGUGCGAGCGUUGUCCGGAAUCAUUGGGCGUAAAGGGCGCGUAGGUGGCCCGGUCAGCGUGCGGUGAAAGCUCGGGGCUCAACCCCGAGUCGGCCGUGCGAACUGCUGGGCUUGAGCACUGUAGAGGCAGGCGGAAUUCCGGGCGUAGCGGUGGAAUGCGUAGAGAUCCGGAAGAACACCGGUGGCGAAGGCGGCCUGCUGGGCAGUGGCUGACACUGAGGCGCGACAGCGUGGGGAGCAAACAGG